GACGAACGCUGGCGGCGUGCUUAACACAUGCAAGUCGAACGGGUCUGCCCUGUUUUUUGCGGGGUGGGUCAGUGGCGAACGGGUGAGUAACACGUGAGUAACCUGCCCCUCACUUCUGGAUAACCGCUUGAAAGGGUGGCUAAUACGGGGUGUUCUGGCUGUGCCGCAUGGUGUGGCUGGGAAAGAUUCACUUUUGUGGUGUUUUGGUGGGGGAUGGGCUCGCGGCCUAUCAGCUUGUUGGUGGGGUGAUGGCCUGCCAAGGCUUUGACGGGUAGCCGGCCUGAGAGGGUGGGCGGUCACACUGGGACUGAGAUACGGCCCAGACUCCUGCGGGAGGCAGCAGGGGGGGGUACUGCACAAUGGGCGGAAGCCUGAUGCAGCGACGUCGCGUGAGGGAUGGAGGCCUUCGGGUUGUGAACCUCUUUCGCCGGUGAAGAAGGUCCUGCUCUUUGUGGUGGGGUUGACGGUAGCCGGGUUAUGAAGCGCCGGCUAACUACGUG
rnacentral:rRNA from 1 species